GGGUGAGGGAAACAUGGCGGAGUGGUGGGCUAUCCAUGCGGUGGACAGACGAAGUCGGAAAAAACGACUGAAAAUAUGGAGUAAAAGCAACGUUUGAGUAGAUGUUUCGUCUUCUUACCACCAUGAGAAACUUGAUUACUGACGAAGUGUGAAUGCUAAAGCAUGCUUUGGAGCUGUUUUGUCGAACACCAUCUGCGGCGGAAGAACUCAAACUUCAACCAGCAAAUCACAGAGAGAAGAGACACACAUGAAGAUUUAAAGAAGCAAAUAUUUGAGCUCAUGAGGAAGAGACAGGCAUGAAGACAUCUGCAGAAGGUGUCACCACUUCGUCCACCACCGUCCACGUUCACAGAGCUGUCGUCCAUGAUCGCUGAGACAUGGUCCAUGAUCGGAGAGACAUUGUUGAGGAUGAGGGAGACAUCGUCCACGAUCAGAGACGUUGUCCAUGAUCACAGAGACCUUGUCAAAGAUGAGAGAGACGUUGUCCAUGAUCAGAGACAUUGUCCCAUGCUUCGUAGAGACCUUGCGAUAGAAUCGGCGGAGACGGGGGUCACCGAUUUGACGGCAUUGACCGCGAUCAUGGAGACAUUGCCGAUGAUCACAGAGACAGCGUUUAUGAUCUCAGAGACAUCGUCCAUGAUCACAAAGACGUUGUCCAUGAUCGCAGAGACUUUGUCCAUAAUCUCAGAGAAAUUGUCCACGAUCACAGAGACGUAGUCCACGAUCACAGUCUUCGGACAAUGAAGUAGUUCACUGAGACCAGGACAGAGGCCUCCAGGUGUCACCACUUCGUCCACCACCGUCCACGUUCACAGAGAUGUCGUCCACGAUCGCUGAGACAUGGUCCAUGAUCGGAGAGACAUUGUUGAGGAUGAGGGAGACAUCGUCCACGAUCAGAGACGUUGUCCAUGAUCACAGAGACCUUGUCAAAGAUGAGAGAGACGUUGUCCAUGAUCAGAGACAUUGUCCCAUGCUUCGUAGAGACCUUGCGAUAGAAUCGGCGGAGACGGGGGUCACCGAUUUGACGGCAUUGACCGCGAUCAUGGAGACAUUGCCGAUGAUCACAGAGACAGCGUUUAUGAUCUCAGAGACAUCGUCCAUGAUCACAAAGACGUUGUCCAUGAUCGCAGAGACUUUGUCCAUAAUCUCAGAGACAUUGUCCACGUUCACAGAGACGUAGUCCACGAUCACAGAGUCUUCGUACAAUGAAGUAGUUCACUGAGACCAGGACAGAGGCCUCCAGGAAGAGAAGACGACAGCAGCUGAAGACCUGAAGUGGAUGAAAGAAAACAAAAGUGUUACAAAGCUAGAUAAACAACCCCUACCA